GAUGAACGCUGGCGGCGUGCCUAAUACAUGCAAGUCGAGCGAAAAGACGAGGAGCUUGCUCCUCUGACGUUAGCGGCGGACGGGUGAGUAACACGUGGAUAACCUACCUAUAAGACUGGGAUAACUUCGGGAAACCGGAGCUAAUACCGGAUAAUAUAUUGAACCGCAUGGUUCAAUAGUGAAAGACGGUUUUGCUGUCACUUAUAGAUGGAUCCGCGCCGCAUUAGCUAGUUGGUAAGGUAACGGCUUACCAAGGCAACGAUGCGUAGCCGACCUGAGAGGGUGAUCGGCCACACUGGAACUGAGACACGGUCCAGACUCCUACGGGAGGCAGCAGUAGGGAAUCUUCCGCAAUGGGCGAAAGCCUGACAGAGCAACGCCGCGUGAGUGAAGAAGGUCUUCGGAUCGUAAAACUCUUUUAUUAGGGAAGAACAAAUGUGUAAGUAACUAUGCACGUCUUGACGGUACCGAAUCAGAAAGCCACGGCUAACUACGUG
rnacentral:rRNA from 1 species